UUAAAUUGAAGAGUUUGAUCAUGGCUCAGAUUGAACGCUGGCGGCAGGCCUAACACAUGCAAGUCGAACGGUAACAGGAAGCAGCUUGCUGCUUUGCUGACGAGUGGCGGACGGGUGAGUAAUGUCUGGGAAACUGCCUGAUGGAGGGGGAUAACUACUGGAAACGGUGGCUAAUACCGCAUAACGUCGCAAGACCAAAGAGGGGGACCUUCGGGCCUCUUGCCAUCAGAUGUGCCCAGAUGGGAUUAGCUUGUUGGUGAGGUAACGGCUCACCAAGGCGACGAUCCCUAGCUGGUCUGAGAGGAUGACCAGCCACACUGGAACUGAGACACGGUCCAGACUCCUACGGGAGGCAGCAGUGGGGAAUAUUGCACAAUGGGCGCAAGCCUGAUGCAGCCAUGCCGCGUGUAUGAAGAAGGCCUUCGGGUUGUAAAGUACUUUCAGCGGGGAGGAAGGUGUUGUGGUUAAUAACCGCAGCAAUUGACGUUACCCGCAGAAGAAGCACCGGCUAACUCCGUGCCAGCAGCCGCGGUAAUACGGAGGGUGCAAGCGUUAAUCGGAAUUACUGGGCGUAAAGCGCACGCAGGCGGUCUGUCAAGUCGGAUGUGAAAUCCCCGGGCUCAACCUGGGAACUGCAUUCGAAACUGGCAGGCUUGAGUCUUGUAGAGGGGGGUAGAAUUCCAGGUGUAGCGGUGAAAUGCGUAGAGAUCUGGAGGAAUACCGGUGGCGAAGGCGGCCCCCUGGACAAAGACUGACGCUCAGGUGCGAAAGCGUGGGGAGCAAACAGGAUUAGAUACCCUGGUAGUCCACGCCGUAAACGAUGUCUACUUGGAGGUUGUGCCCUUGAGGCGUGGCUUCCGGAGCUAACGCGUUAAGUAGACCGCCUGGGGAGUACGGCCGCAAGGUUAAAACUCAAAUGAAUUGACGGGGGCCCGCACAAGCGGUGGAGCAUGUGGUUUAAUUCGAUGCAACGCGAAGAACCUUACCUGGUCUUGACAUCCACAGAAGAAUCCAGAGAUGGAUUUGUGCCUUCGGGAACUGUGAGACAGGUGCUGCAUGGCUGUCGUCAGCUCGUGUUGUGAAAUGUUGGGUUAAGUCCCGCAACGAGCGCAACCCUUAUCCUUUGUUGCCAGCGGUUAGGCCGGGAACUCAAAGGAGACUGCCAGUGAUAAACUGGAGGAAGGUGGGGAUGACGUCAAGUCAUCAUGGCCCUUACGACCAGGGCUACACACGUGCUACAAUGGCGCAUACAAAGAGAAGCGACCUCGCGAGAGCAAGCGGACCUCAUAAAGUGCGUCGUAGUCCGGAUUGGAGUCUGCAACUCGACUCCAUGAAGUCGGAAUCGCUAGUAAUCGUGGAUCAGAAUGCCACGGUGAAUACGUUCCCGGGCCUUGUACACACCGCCCGUCACACCAUGGGAGUGGGUUGCAAAAGAAGUAGGUAGCUUAACCUUCGGGAGGGCGCUUACCACUUUGUGAUUCAUGACUGGGGUGAAGUCGUAACAAGGUAACCGUAGGGGAACCUGCGGUUGGAUCACCUCCUUACCUUAAAGAAGC
rnacentral:rRNA from 18 species